AUUGAACGCUGGCGGCAUGCCUUACACAUGCAAGUCGAACGGCAGCAUGGAGAGCUUGCUCUCUGAUGGCGAGUGGCGAACGGGUGAGUAAUGCAUCGGAACGUACCGUGUAAUGGGGGAUAACGUAGCGAAAGUUACGCUAAUACCGCAUACGACCUGAGGGUGAAAGCAGGGGAUCGCAAGACCUUGCGUUAUACGAGCGGCCGAUGUCGGAUUAGCUAGUUGGUGAGGUAAAGGCUCACCAAGGCGACGAUCUGUAGCGGGUCUGAGAGGAUGAGCCGCCACACUGGGACUGAGACACGGCCCAGACUCCUACGGGAGGCAGCAGUGGGGAAUUUUGGACAAUGGGGGCAACCCUGAUCCAGCCAUGCCGCGUGAGUGAAGAAGGCCUUCGGGUUGUAAAGCUCUUUCGGCCGGGAAGAAAUCGCACAGGCUAAUACUCUGUGUGGAUGACGGUACCGGCAUAAGAAGCACCGGCUAACUACGUGCCAGCCGCCGCAGUAAAAC
rnacentral:rRNA from 1 species